UUGAAGAUUACUAAGGGCGCACGGUGGAUGCCUUGGCAUCAGGAGCCGAUGAAGGACGUGGCAAUCUGCGAUAUGCCUCGGGGAGCCGAUAAGCGGGCUGUGAUCCGAGGAUUUCCGAAUGGGGAAACCCCGUCGUCUGUGAGGGCGAUGACCUGUAUCUGAAUACAUAGGGUGCAGGGGGGAACGCGGGGAAGUGAAACAUCUCAGUACCCGCAGGAAGAGAAAACAACAGUGAUUCCGUGAGUAGUGGCGAGCGAAAGCGGAAGUGGCUAAACCGUCUGUGUGUGAUACCCGGCAGGGGUUGCAUGGGCGGGGUUGUGGGAGCAUCAGUGCCCGGUCUGCCGGCUGGGUCGUGUGAGUGCAGCGUGAUAGUCGAAUCAUCUUGAGUGGUGUGCCGUAGAGGGUGUGAGUCCCGUAGACGAAAUCAUUGCUGCCGCGCGUGGUGUUUCCCGAGUAGCACGGAGCCCGUGAAACUUCGUGUGAAUCUGCCAGGACCACCUGGUAAGCC
rnacentral:rRNA from 1 species